GGAAGAUAAAGAAUAUGCUGUAAUAUAAAGAUACAGGUUUUGGGGAUAUCUGUUUGGAAAAAACAAGUGAUAAAUAUAUAUGCUACUUUUUACAUCUAUUGGAACAGUUAUAUAUGGACUGUUUAAGAUAAAUAAUUAUGACGAGUUGUCUGCUCUCCUUGCCUAAAAUGAAAUCAACACUAAAUGUUUUUCCAUUUCUUCCCCAGCAAGCGCCUUGUACUGAGCUGUUCUGGAGGACCCCCUUACAGUUUUUGUUUCUUCCUCUUGUGGCAGCCUUUGGGAAUGCUUCACGUCCUACCAUCAAGAAACUUGGAGUGAUAAAAAUUCCCUUAGGAGGCAGAAUCUGGCAGAAAGCAUUUGGCUAUGGCUGGCAAGCUGGGUGAAGAUGAAAGCCCUGGAAAAACACCCUUUAUGACUGAAUCCUGCAAGGGGCCCUGAUCUCAAUCCCUGGUCUGUGAGAUCACCAGGCGAAAGUGCUGCUGCCAUGCUUGUGAAGCCGGAGCCCUGUCACGUGAGUGUACCAGGCACAGCCAGUAGGAGAGAGUAGCUACAACCCUUUUUUUUACCAAAGGAAAGCCAGCCGCUUUUCCUCAGUCCCUUGGAAGAUAAACCCAAUUUCCGUGUCAUCUUCUGAAUUUGUUCAUCCUUUUGUAGGGCUGAAGCACAGAAAAGCUGAAGGCUGCUAGACCAGGUGUUCCCCUUCAGAUUCUUUAAUGCUUGAACAUGUUUCAGCUGGUGAGUGCAAGGGGAAGUGGACAAAUCAUUCCUGUCACUUAAGAAUAAAUUUUGGUAGUUUUUUUCUUCUCA
rnacentral:lncRNA from 1 species